AAAGAUCUGUUUGGGAGCGAUCCUGCCAGGAGUCGAACCUGGAAUCUUCUGAUCCGUAGUCAGACGCGUUAUCCAUUGCGCCACAGGACCCACAUGUGAAGAUCG